ACAGCAGCCGCCACGGUAAUACGGAGGGUGCUAGCGUUGUUCGGAAUUACUGGGCGUAAAGCGCGCGUAGGCGGUUACUCAAGUCAGAGGUGAAAGCCCGGGGCUCAACCCCGGAACUGCCUUUGAAACUAGGUGACUAGAAUCUUGGAGAGGUCAGUGGAAUUCCGAGUGUAGAGGUGAAAUUCGUAGAUAUUCGGAAGAACACCAGUGGCGAAGGCGACUGACUGGACAAGUAUUGACGCUGAGGUGCGAAAGCGUGGGGAGCAAACAGGAUUAGAUACCCGUGUAGUCCCUGUCUCUUAUAC
rnacentral:rRNA from 1 species